UAAUAUAAAAUCAUUUGCAAAAUUCGGCCAAGAUCUUAUCACCGGCAUCACUCGCCGCCGGCAAAAUUAGUCCCAUCAAAAUCCGGAAACAAGUGAAAUGUCUUGGGAAGUAUUUAAGCAUUAGUCUAAUCUGGAGCUGCUUUAAGUGGUUUUUCAGCGGUAUUGGUGAUUCAUGUGGGUUUGAUAAUUUUCCCACUCUUGGCUUAACACUAUUCCACAAUAUGUUGUAUAAUGGAAUUCUACUAGGAAUGAGGGACUAGUGAAGCUAACCUGGCAAUGUUGCAGCUUCUGCUAUCCUGCCAAGGCUGCUGCUAUAGCUGCCUUGCCAUCGAGGAGUUCGGUGUGAUUGAUAUGUGAACCCAAAAGAUCAUGAUAAACCAGUUGAAAAGGAUAAUUGCUGAGAUGACUUAUGGAGGCGUGGACAGAAGUGUCGAAUGUACUGGAAAUAUUCAAGCCAUGAUUUCUGCUUUUGAAUUUGUUCAUUAUGUAUGUUCUAAACAAUCAAAUUUUUGACUUGUUGAAUCCCUCCCUUCUCUAUUAAAUAAGCCUGAACUAUCCCUUACUCCUUAA